GUGCCCCAUCUACGACGUGGGGUGUGUGUGUGUGUGUGCGUGUGUGUGUGUGUGUGCGCACGCGUGCGUGUGUGGUGAUCCUUCACUUGCUGACUCUGGACCUUUUAUUUUCUUGCUGCCUCUUAUUCUGAUCCCAGUGGCUAAGGACAGGCUGAGAACCUGGCUUCUGACUGCGUACACUGCUGCCCUCUUGUGGACGUGGGCCCAGCCGUGUCAGUGGCUGACGCAUUCUUUGUCACCUGAAGUCUGGACGAACAGGCUACUUAGAUGCUAUAGGUGUUUACAGCUUGAAGGAAGCUUAAUAGGACUCAGACCGCCCAUACUGUGUGAAUGAGAAGGUAGAAAGCCUAAGG
rnacentral:lncRNA from 1 species